rnacentral:rRNA from 1 species
GACGAACGCUGGCGGCGUGCUUAAUACAUGCAAGUCGAACGGAAAGGCCCUGCUUUUGUGGGGUGCUCGAGUGGCGAACGGGUGAGUAACACGUGAGUAACCUGCCCUUGACUUUGGGAUAACUUCAGGAAACUGGGGCUAAUACCGGAUAGGAGCUCCUGCUGCAUGGUGGGGGUUGGAAAGUUUCGGCGGUUGGGGAUGGACUCGCGGCUUAUCAGCUUGUUGGUGGGGUAGUGGCUUACCAAGGCUUUGACGGGUAGCCGGCCUGAGAGGGUGCCCGGCCACAUUGGGACUGAGAUACGGCCCAGACUCCUACGGGAGGCAGCAGUGGGGAAUAUUGCACAAUGGGCGGAAGCCUGAUGCAGCAACGCCGCGUGCGGGAUGACGGCCUUCGGGUUGUAAACCGCUUUCGCCUGUGACGAAGCGUGAGUGACGGUAAUGGGUAAAGAAGCACCGGCUAACUACGU